AACGUGUUGUAAUGUAUGCUGAUGAACUCUGUGUAAUAGACAUAUUAUGUAUACACACACACAGACACACAGUUAUAUACACACA
rnacentral:miRNA from 1 species